rnacentral:rRNA from 1 species
AACGGCCAUACCAUGCUGAAUAUACCGGUUCUCGUUAGAUCACUGAAGUCAAGCAUCAUUGGGCGCGGUCAGUACUUGGGUGGGUGACCACCUGGGAACACCACGUGCCGUUA